UACGAAGGGUGCAAGCGUUACUCGGAAUCACUGGGCGUAAAGCGUGCGUAGGCGGUCCUUUAAGUCUGAUGUGAAAGCCCACGGCUCAACCGUGGAGGGUCAUUGGAAACUGGGGGACUUGAGUGCAGAAGAGGAGAGUGGAAUUCCACGUGUAGCGGUGAAAUGCGUAGAGAUGUGGAGGAACACCAGUGGCGAAGGCGACUCUCUGGUCUGUAACUGACGCUGAGGCGCGAAAGCGUGGGGAGCAAACAGG
rnacentral:rRNA from 1 species